rnacentral:rRNA from 1 species
AGAGACCGGCGCACGGGUGCGUAACGCGUAUGCAAUCUACCUUUCACAGAGGGAUAGCCCAGAGAAAUUUGGAUUAAUACCUCAUAGUAUUAUAGGAUGGCAUCAUUUUAUAAUUAAAGUCACAACGGUGAAAGAUGAGCAUGCGUCCCAUUAGCUAGUUGGUAAGGUAACGGCUUACCAAGGCAACGAUGGGUAGGGGUCCUGAGAGGGAGAUCCCCCACACUGGUACUGAGACACGGACCAGACUCCUACGGGAGGCAGCAGUGAGGAAUAUUGGUCAAUGGAGGCAACUCUGAACCAGCCAUGCCGCGUGCAGGAUGACGGUCCUAUGGAUUGUAAACUGCUUUUGUACAGGAAGAAACCCUACUUCGUGAAGUAGAUUGACGGUACUGUAAGAAUAAGGAUCGGCUAACUCCGUGCCAGCAGCCGCGGUAAUACGGAGGAUCCAAGCGUUAUCCGGAAUCAUUGGGUUUAAAGGGUCCGUAGGCGGCCUAGCAAGUCAGUGGUGAAAUCUCCCCGCUCAACGGGGAA